GAUGAAGAACGCAGCGAAAUGCGAUAAGUAAUGUGAAUUGCAGAAUCCAGUGAAUCAUCGAAUCUUUGAACGCACAUUGCGCCCGCCAGCAUUCUGGCGGGCAUGCCUGUUCGAGCGUCAUUUCAACCCUCGACCUCACUUUGGGGAAGUCGGCGUUGGGGACCGGCAGCACACCGCCGGCCCUGAAAUGGAGUGGCGGCCCGUCCGCGGCGACCUCUGCGUAGUAAACCAACUCGCAGCGGAGCGCCGAGGUGGGGAGGGGGGAAAACACCCAACUUCUGAACGUUGACCUCGAAUCAGGUAGGACUACCCGCUGAACUUAAGCAUAUCAAUAAGCGGAGGA
rnacentral:misc_RNA from 1 species